UUAACCCUUCGGCCCUCUGUGCGCGCCGGGCGCUCGGGGAGUGCCCCGCGCGGCCUUUGUUAACCGGGCGGGAGCGCGCUGCUCGGCGCCCUCCGCCGGCGCCCGCUGCGGCUCCCCUCCGCGCUGUCCUUCGCUGGCCCCGAACCUCCGCGGGAGGCCCUCGGCCUGCUCCUGACCGCCGCAGGCCGGAGGCGAUGACAGCCCCGGGCCGUUGGCUGUGAAAGAUCACACCUCUUCAGCUCGGGCGUAAAGUUCUCGAAACUUGGCCCCUGAACUCAACUUCAAUGGAUAAAAACCUCAAGUUUAAGAAGCCCACCAGGUUACUGCCAGUGUCAGUGUCAUCCCUGUUGUGUCAGUGCAGGGCACUCACAUCGGCCCACUGCAACACCGUCCUAAGCCGUCUGGACUGAUUUCCUCUGACUGCAGCAGUAACAGUAACGGCUUUGUUCUUCUAGCCUCCCAGCUCUUUCCGCUUCUGCCUUAAUCAUUAGUCGUGGUAACGUAGCAAACAGCCACAGUACCGGCUCAGAAGAAAAUGAAGGUCACCAUGAUCAAUUUCUUGACAUGAUAGAAGUCUGCCCUUGAAAACGGCAUCCAUUCCUCUCUCAGGUUAUCUUUCCAUUGCUACUAAGUGACUCCUACCCGACUCUGUAAUGCUGCUGGUGACACCCCCGGUUUUAUACCUCAAACUGUUUCUGAAGAAGUUUUCAAUCUGCCAACCACAUGAGAACACAGGCAUAACUAGGUUAACAGUGCUUUUUCUGGACUUAGAGAAAAAAAUAAAGAGAGUUACAAGAAAGAAUCUUAAAA